UGGGGAGUAUUGCACAAUGGGGAGGACCCUGAUGCAGCGACGCCGCGUGAGUGAAGAAGUAUUUCGGUAUGUAAAGCUCUAUCAGCAGGGAAGAAAUGACGGUACCUGACUAAGAAGCCCCGGCUAACUACGUGCCAGCCAGCCGCGGUAAUACGUAGGGGGCGAAGCGUUAUCCGGAUUUACUGGGUGUAAAGGGAGCGUAGACGGUAUGGCAAGUCUGAAGUGAAAGCCCCGGGCGUCAACCCAGGGCAAGCUGCUUUGGAAUACUGUUAAACUGGAGUGCUGGAGAGGCAGGCGGAAUUCCUAGUGUAGCGGUGAAAUGCGUAGAUAUUAGGAGGAACACCAGUGGCGAAGGCGGCCUGCUGGACAGUAACUGACGUUGAGGCUCGAAAGCGUGGGGAGCAAACAGGAUUAGAUACC
rnacentral:rRNA from 1 species